GUCACCUAGCUAACCCUCUAGACUGCUCUAAGGCUGUAUCCUAAAGGUUAAGUCACCUAGCUAACCCUCUAGACUGCUCUAAGGCUGUAUCCUAAAGGUUAAGUCACCUAGCUAACCCUCUAGACUGCUCUAAGGCUGUAUCCUAAAGGUUAAGUCACCUAGCUAACCCUCUAGACUGCUCUAAGGCUGUAUCCUAAAGGUUAAGUCACCUAGCUAACCCUCUAGACUGCUCUAAGGCUGUAUCCUAAAGGUUAAGUCACCUAGCUAACCCUCUAGACUGCUCUAAGGCUGUAUCCUAAAGGUUAAGUCACCUAGCUAACCCUCUAGACUGCUCUAAGGCUGUAUCCUAAAGGUUAAGUCACCUAGCUAACCCUCUAGACUGCUCUAAGGCUGUAUCCUAAUGGUUAAGUCACCUAGCUAACCCUCUAGACUGCUCUAAGG